rnacentral:rRNA from 1 species
UACGAAGGGGGCUAGCGUUGCUCGGAAUCACUGGGCGUAAAGAGCGUGUAGGCGGCCCGAUAAGUCCGCCGUGAAAGUCCAGGGCUCAACCCUGGAAUGCCGGUGGAAACUGUCGGGCUGGAGUCCGGAAGAGGCGAGUGGAAUUCCUGGUGUAGCGGUGAAAUGCGCAGAUAUCAGGAGGAACACCCGUGGCGAAAGCGGCUCUCUGGAACGGUACUGACGGCUGAGACGCGAAAGCGUGGGGAGCGAACAGG